CCCUUAGAUGUCCGGGGCCGCACGCGCGCUACACUGAAGGAAUCAGCGUGGCUUUCUCCCUGACCCGAAAGGGUUGGGAAACCCGUUGAACCUCAUUCGUGAUUGGGAUAGGGACUUGCAAUUGUUUCCCUUGAACGAGGAAUUCCCAGUAAGCGCAAGUCAUCAGCUUGCGUUGAUUACGUCCCUGCCCUUUGUACACACCGCCCGUCGCUACUACCGAUUGAAUGGUUUAGUGAGAUCCUUGGAUCGGCCCUGUCGCGGCUGGCAACGGCCGCGUCGGCGCGUCGAGAAGACGAUCAAACUUGAUCAUUUAGAGGAAGUAAAAGUCGUAACA
rnacentral:rRNA from 1 species